CUGGCCCUGAAUCAAGGCUGGCAGCUUCCUGACGCUGCUGGGUUCAAGCAGGAGCCUAAAGAGAUGUUAUUUUGGUCUGUUAGCCAUUUCAGAACUUGGGCAAUGAAAUGGUCAAUUCAUUAGAAAGAAACAGCU
ensembl:snoRNA small nucleolar RNA SNORA2/SNORA34 family